CAUGCAAGUCGAGCGAGCUUGCCUAUUGAAAUUCUUCGGAAUGGACAUAGAUACAAGCUAGCGGCGGAUGGGUGAGUAACGCGUGGGUAACCUGCCCUUAAGUCUGGGAUACCAUUUGGAAACAGAUGCUAAUACCGGAUAAAAGCUACUUUCGCAUGAAAGAAGUUUAAAAGGCGGCGUAAGCUGUCGCUAAAGGAUGGACCUGCGAUGCAUUAGCUAGUUGGUAAGGUAACGGCUUACCAAGGCGAUGAUGCAUAGCCGAGUUGAGAGACUGAUCGGCCACAUUGGGACUGAGACACGGCCCAAACUCCUACGGGAGGCAGCAGUAGGGAAUCUUCCACAAUGGACGCAAGUCUGAUGGAGCAACGCCGCGUGAGUGAAGAAGGUUUUCGGAUCGUAAAGCUCUGUUGUUGGUGAAGAAGGAUAGAGGUAGUAACUGGCCUUUAUUUGACGGUAAUCAACCAGAAAGUCACGGCUAACUACGUGCCAGCAGCCGCGGUAAUACGUAGGUGGCAAGCGUUGUCCGGAUUUAUUGGGCGUAAAGCGAGCGCAGGCGGAUUGAUAAGUCUGAUGUGAAAGCCUUCGGCUCAACCGAAGAACUGCAUCAGAAACUGUCAAUCUUGAGUGCAGAAGAGGAGAGUGGAACUCCAUGUGUAGCAGUGGAAUGCGUAGAUAUAUGGAAGAACACCAGUGGCGAAGGCGGCUCUCUGGUCUGUAACUGACGCUGAGGCUCGAAAGCAUGGGUAGCGAACAGG
rnacentral:rRNA from 1 species